rnacentral:rRNA from 1 species
GGGGAAUAUUGGGCAAUGGAGGAAACUCUGACCCAGCAACGCCGCGUGGAGGAAGAAGGUUUUCGGAUCGUAAACUCCUGUCCUUGGAGACGAGUAGAAGACGGUAUCCAAGGAGGAAGCCCCGGCUAACUACGUGCCAGCAGCCGCGGUAAUACGUAGGGGGCAAGCGUUGUCCGGAAUAAUUGGGCGUAAAGGGCGCGUAGGCGGCUCGGUAAGUCUGGAGUGAAAGUCCUGCUUUUAAGGUGGGAAUUGCUUUGGAUACUGUCGGGCUUGAGUGCAGGAGAGGUUAGUGGAAUUCCCAGUGUAGCGGUGAAAUGCGUAGAGAUUGGGAGGAACACCAGUGGCGAAGGCGACUAACUGGACUGUAACUGACGCUGAGGCGCGAAAGUGUGGGGAGCAAACAGGAUUAGAUACCCUGGUAGUCCACACUGUAAACGAUGAAUGCUAGGUGUAGGGGGUAUCGACCCCUUCUGUGCCGCAGUCAACACAAUAAGCAUUCCGCCUGGGGAGUACGGCCGCAAGGUUGAAACUCAAAGGAAUUGACGGGGGCCCGCACAAGCAGCGGAGCAUGUGGUUUAAUUCGACGCAACGCGAAGAACCUUACCAGGUCUUGACAUCCACUUAAACUUACAGAGAUGUAAGGUGUGCUUGCACAAAGUGAGACAGGUGGUGCAUGGUUGUCGUCAGCUCGUGUCGUGAGAUGUUGGGUUAAGUCCCGCAACGAGCGCAACCCUUAUCUUCAGUUACUAACGCGUGAGGGUGAGGACUCUGAAGAGACUGCCGGGGACAACUCGGAGGAAGGUGGGGACGACGUCAAAUCAUCAUGCCCCUUAUGACCUGGGCUACACACGUGCUACAAUGGCCACGACAGAGAGAAGCGAAAUCGUAAGGUAGAGCGGAACUCAAAAAAGUGGUCCCAGUUCGGAUUGUGGGCUGCGACCCGCCCACAUGAAGUCGGAGUUGCUAGUAAUCGCGGAUCAGCAUGCCGCGGUGAAUACGUUCCCG